rnacentral:tRNA from 1 species
GCCUGGGUGGCUCAGUCGGUUAAGCAUCCGACUUCGGCUCAGGUCAUGAUCUCACGGUUCGUGAGUUCAAGCCCCACUUUGGGCU